rnacentral:tRNA from 1 species
GUUCUGGCUCAGUGGUAGAGCACUUGCCUGGCAUGUAUGAGGCCCUGGGUUCGAUCCUCAGCACCACA